CAUUAUACUUACAAAAGUCUCCGAAAAGUCCUUGGAGUUACGCAAUUUGGGGCCCGCAGACGCGCGUGGACACAAAAACACACGCUCCCGAGAUCCACCCUCCCCGGGCCACACUGUGGGGCUGCGUCCGGGGCACGGGCCAUGCCUGAACCUUCUUCCACCGCCGCGCCCCGGGCCCGCGCCCCGCCGGCCGCCCGCACUGGGUCCCGCGUCGCCCCCGCCACCACACCGAGCCGCCCAGUACCUCCUCCUCCUGAAGGAUGGGGCGAGGACGCGCGUCCCAGGGGCAGAGCUGGGGGUCCGUACGGAGGAACUUCAGAGGCUGGAAGCACGCUUGAAAAAGAAAGGGGGCCUGGGCUUUGCACCAGCUUCAGGAUUGCGUACUUGUUUCCUCAUCCGUGAAAUGGGAGCAGCUGAAUGUGUCUCCUCGAGUUUUCGAGAAAAAUGAGGGUCUCACUUUGUUGCUCAGGCUGAGCUCGAGCUCCUGGCCUCAAGUGAUCCUCCUGCUUUUGGCCUCCCAAACUGAUGGGAUUACAACGUGGAGCCACCGUGUUAAACUCUUAGAUUUGACUGCUACAAAGGUAUAAAUGUGGAACUCCAUAUAUCAGUGGGUUCUGCCCCACUUCUUCCUCCCAGGAAUUCUCCAUCCCAGCCUGCUGCUCCUGUCUUGCACCGGGGAACAAACAUGUAUCCUGGAUGAAAAUAAACCAACUCUUGAAACUGCAACCCAAGACAUUCAGAAGAGAUAAGGCUACAGUGAAUGUGGAAACUUUGCACGUGUUUGGAUGUAUUGAUUGCCUUAACUGGCAGCUCUUUGCACUGCCAGCUUCCCUCAAUUACAUGAGGAACCACGAGGGGGCAAUGUCUUCCCGAGCAAUAAUAGCUGAGUGGUGGUCUUAGGACCCCGUGGUGGCCCAUGAUGCUAGCACUGUGUCUUUGGCCAUUCUUGCCUGUCAUGGAGCAUACUCCACAGAAGGGCAUGGUCUUCUUGGAUCCCGGCAUGGGCCCAACAAAAAUGACAAUGUAGUCAAUAGUUCCACUCAGACCUCACUUAGGAGCAGGUGAACUAUGUUGUGUGAUAUCAGGAUGCCCGGAGAACCUCUCCUAUCCCCACCCAGGGAAGCAUGGCUUAAUUCCAAAUAAAGAAUCUGAUUUCUUUGUCUUUAAGCCA
rnacentral:lncRNA from 1 species